rnacentral:tRNA from 1 species
CGGGUGUAGCUCAGUGGUAGAGCUCCAGCCUUCCAAGCUGGCCAUGUGGGUUCGAUUCCCAUCACCC